CUUGCGAAGAUUAUUUGCUGUUUUGCACCAGUAAAAGUGAGGUCAGUUACCAUUAUAAGAUCGCAGGCUGCAGCGCACUUUUCACCCCCCCCCCCCCCACUGACACCACCUCAGUCAUGAACAGGUUCCAUUUUUACAGAUAUCACUGUCAAAUCAAUUAAUCUCACAACAAGAUAAGAAAUCAUCUAGCAAGGAAUGAAAAUAAUGAGUGAAACAAUAAUCCCACCUUGACAGGAGAGGCUCGGCUGGUACGGUUGCUGCAAUGGGCUCCAGCACCUCCAGCAUCUUUUGUUCUUCUCUAGCUUUACCCUGGAGAUUAAACCCUUUCAUCCUACAACCAUUAAAUCCAUCUUCAAAUCUGAGUCACCGUUGAACUGAGACAGAAUAGAAUAUUUAAGAGACGACAAAGGCUAUUUGAUCAGACCCUUUGAGCUCCAAACUGCUAAUUAAAUUUGCUAAUGACACUACAUUGAUUGGCCUAAUCUCAAACAAUAAUGAGGCAGCCUACAGAGAAGAAGUCAUCACCCUGACACAGUGGUGUCAAGAAAACAACCUCGCCCUCAAUGUCGCAAAAACAAGGAACUGGUUGUGCAUUACAGGAGGAAUGAAGAUAGGCUAACCCCUAUUGACAUCAAUGGAUCUGGGGUUGAGAGGGUGAACAGCUUUAAAUUCUUCGGCAUCCACGUCACCAAGGACCUCACGUGCUCUGUACACACCAGCUGUGUGGUGAGUAAGGCACAACAGCACCUCUUUCACCUCAGACGAUUGAGGAAGUUUGAUAUGGGACCCCAAAUCCUAAGAACAUUCUACAGAGUAUUGAGAGCAUCCUGACUGGCUGCAUCACUGCCUGGUAUGGGAACUGUACUUCACUCAAUCUCAGGACUCUGCAGAGAGUGGUACGGACAGCCCAGCACAUCUCUAGUUGUGAACUUCAGGACAUUUACAAAGACAGAUGUGAAAAAAGGAUUAUUGGAGACCCGAGUCACCCCAACCACAAUCUAUUCCAGCUGCUACAAUCCGGGAAACGGCACCACAGCAUAAGAGUCAGGACCGACAGGCUCUGGGACAGCUUCUUCAAGCAGGCCAUCAGACUGAUUAAUUCAUGCUGAUUGGAGUUUAUUUCUAUGUUACAUUCAUUGUUCUAUUUAUCAUAAAUUAUUAUAAAUAACUAUGAUUGCACAUUUAGACGGAGUUGUAAUGUAAAGAUUUUUACUCCUCAUGUAUGUGAGGGAUGUAAGAAAUAAAGUCAAAUCAACUUUCAUCCUAUUCCCAUAUUGUCAUAAAGUCGUAGAUCAUGGAAACAGGACUUUCAGCCCAAUUCGUCCAUGCUAAUAUUGUUGUGCAGUGAGCCCAUCUGCCCCUAUAUUGUAAUAUGAAGUCAGUUAACUUCAGCAAACAUGGUUUCCCUUUCAUAAAUACAUGAUAACUAUUCUCCAGCGAUGGAUUCUAGUAUUUUCUUAGUGACAUGCUGUACUCUCUCUCCCUCCUUUCUUGUUGACUGAAUUUCCAAGAUUUCCAGCCUGCUGGGACCCUUCUAUGAUCAAUACUUCAACUAUCUCUGCAGCGACUUCUUUUAAGACUCUGUUUUGGAGAUUAUAAGGUACAAGGAACAUGUCAGACUUUAGCUGAGUUUGUACUUCCCUCUUGUGAAAAAGUUUGAUUAUAUUUCUUCCCUUGCUGUGCCCUGAUUUCUUUUUAUUGUCAUUGGAAUGUUUUUAGUUUUUUCUCCUAUGAAAACUGUCAUUUGAAGUUGCUGCUAUUUCUCUAAUACUCAUUAUUAAUUACCAGCUUUAAUCCUGAAACUUUUGUUCACUUUAGUCAUUCAUAUCCUUUUCAUAUACUUUAUAUUCAAUACUCCUCCUCAAUACCGUCUUUGUCAAUUCAAUUUGCACUGCCUACAGAGAGAUUAAAGUCACCCAUGAUCAUUGCAGAUCUCUGUAUGUCUCUAGAUGUGUGGUGGCGAGUGUAUUGACUGGUUGCCUCAGAGCCUGAUAUGGAUACAGAACAGAAAAUCAUGUGGCCCAGUCCAACAUGUUUAAAGCCCUCCCUACCAUUGAUCACAUCUACAUGAAAUGCUGUCAUAGGAAAACAGCAUCCAACAUCAGAGAUUUCCACCACCUAGGUUAUGGUCUCUUCUUGCUUCUGCCAUCAGGAAGAAAGUACAGGAGCUUCAGGACUCACACCACUGGAACAGUUACCACCCCUCAACUAUCAGGCUCUUGAAUAAAAGGGAAUAACUACAUUCAUCUUCUCUUGACCCAUCAUUGAAAUGUUCCUACACCACUUUCAAGGGCUCUUUAUCUCACUAUUUCAUGUUCUUGUAUUUAUAUUUGCGUUUGCAGAGU